GACGAACGCUGGCGGCGUGCUUAACACAUGCAAGUCGUACGGUAAGGCCCUUUCGGGGGUACACGCGUGGCGAACGGGUGCGUAUCACGUGAGUAACCUGCCCACCACUUUGGGAUAACGCUAGGAAACUGGAGCUCAUACUGGAUAUGUGCUCCUGCUGCAUGGUGGGGGUUGGAAAGCUCCGGGGGUUGUGGAUGGACUCGCGGCCUAUCAGCUUGUUGGUGGGGUAGUGGCCUCCCAAGGCGGCGACGGGUAGCCGGCCCGAGAGGGUGACCGGCCACAUGGGGACUGAGAUACGGCCCGGUCGUCGACGGUAGUCAGCAUGGGGUAAUGAUGCGCAAUUGGCGCAAGCCGGAUGCAGCAACGCCGCGUUCGGGAUGACGGCCUUCGGGUUGUGAACCGCUAUUAGCAGGGACGAAGCUUUUUGGGACGGUACCUGCAUAAUAAGCACCGGCUAACUACGUG
rnacentral:rRNA from 1 species